CCUACGGGAGGCAGCAGUGAGGAAUAUUGGUCAAUGGACGAGAGUCUGAACCAGCCAAGUAGCGUGAAGGAUGACUGCCCUAUGGGUUGUAAACUUCUUUUAUAUGGGAGUAAAAUGUUCCACGUGUGGGAUUUUGUAUGUACCAUAUGAAUAAGGAUCGGCUAACUCCGUGCCAGCAGCCGCGGUAAUACGGAGGAUGCGAGCGUUAUCCGGAUUUAUUGGGGUUAAAGGGAGCGUAGGUGGAUGGUUAAGUCAGUUGUGAAAGUUUGCGGCUCAACCGUAAAAGUGCAGUUGAAACUGGCAGUCUUGAGUACAGUAGAGGUGGGCGGAAUUCGAGGUGUAGCGGUGAAAUGCUUAGAGAUCACGAAGAACUCCGAUUGCGAAGGCAGCUCACUGGACUGCAACUGACACUGAGGCUCGAAAGUGUGGGUAGCAAACAGGAUUAGAUACCCUUGUAGUC
rnacentral:rRNA from 1 species